rnacentral:sRNA from 1 species
GCUGGGUGCUGAGGCACACACCUGUAAUCCUAGCUUCUCUGGAGGCUGAGGCAGGAGGAUCACAAGUUCAAAGAUACCCUCAGCAACUUAAUGAAACCCUAGGCAACUCGGUGAAUCCCUGUCUCUU